AUCAAACCUAGUGAGGACAACCCAGGUACCCAAUAACACUAUAUCAAACCUAGUGAGGACAACCCAGGUACCCAAUAACACUAUAUCAAACCUAGUGAGGACAACCCAGGUACCCAAUAACACUAUAUCAAACCUAGUGAGGACAACCCAGGUACCCAAUAACACUAUAUCAAACC